rnacentral:lncRNA from 10 species
CUUUCCCUCUUUUGCCCUUCCACUAUGGGAUGAUGCAGCAGGAAGGCCUUCACCAGAUGUCAGUCCCUCGAUCUUAGACUUCACAGCAUCCAAAACUAUGCUUGUUGUCCUGUUUUGAUCCUCUUCAAAAGGUGGUUUAUAAUCAACUGUAAGACUUUGACAGUUGCUCUCAACAUUCUUCUAAAUGAAGGAAGGAAAAGAAAGAAAGGAAGAAAGGAAGAAAGAAAGAAAGAAGAAAGAAAGAAAGAAAGAAAGGAAGGAAGAAAGAAAGAAAGAAAGAGGAGCCUGGAAAAUCCAGUUUGUAUGACCAGGGAGAAGAAUGGAUUAGAGCAGCCACUAGUCAGUCUCUUCCAAGCAAGAAGGACCACCCCUGAGCUGUUUUCCAGCUGGACAUGCCUGGACCUGUAUUCCACUCCUCUCUAAAAUGCACCUUAUUUUUCUUCAUUAAAUUCUGUUACUUAACCCUUGC